AAAACUUUCAACAACGGAUCUCUUGGUUCUGGCAUCGAUGAAGAACGCAGCGAAAUGCGAUAAGUAAUGUGAAUUGCAGAAUUCAGUGAAUCAUCGAAUCUUUGAACGCACAUUGCGCCCCGCGGUAUUCCGUGGGGCAUGCCUGUUCGAGCGUCAUUA
rnacentral:rRNA from 1 species